rnacentral:rRNA from 1 species
GGAAUUCGCCCUUAGAGUUUCAUUCUGGCUCAGGACGAACGCUGGCGGCGUGCCUAACACAUGCAAGUCGAACGGACCUAGCCUGAUAGCAAUAUUGGGCGACGGUUAGUGGCGAACGGGUGAGUAACGCGUGAGCAACCUGCCUUUCAGAGGGGGAUAACAGCUGGAAACAGUUGCUAAUACCGCAUAAAGUAUUUAGGUGGCAUCACCUUAAUACCAAAGGUUAAUUCCGCUGAGAGAUGGGCUCACGUCUGAUUAGCUAGAUGGUGGGGUAAUGGCCUACCAUGGCAACGAUCAGUAGCCGGUCUGAGAGGAUGAACGGCCACAUUGGGACUGAGAUACGGCCCAGACUCCUACGGGAGGCAGCAGUGGGGAAUAUUGGGCAAUGGGCGAAAGCCUGACCCAGCAACGCCGCGUGAAGGAAUAAGGCCUUCGGGUUGUAAACUUCUUUUAUCAGGGACGAAGGAUGUGACGGUACCUGAUGAAUAAGCCACGGCUAACUACGUGCCAACAGCCGCGGUAAUACGUAGGUGGCAAGCGUUGUCCGGAUUUACUGGGUGUAAAGGGCGCGUAGGCGGGAAUGCAAGUCAGAUGUGAAAUCCAUGGGCUCAACCCAUGAACUGCAUUUGAAACUGUGUUUCUUGAGUGAUGGAGAGGCAGGCGGAAUUCCUAGUGUAGCGGUGAAAUGCGUAGAUAUUAGGAGGAACACCAGUGGCGAAGGCGGCCUGCUGGACAUCAACUGACGCUGAGGCGCGAAAGCGCGGGGAGCAAACAGGAUUAGAUACCCUGGUAGUCCGCGCCGU